GUACACGCUGUGACUAGCAUAUCAAUAAGCGGAGGAAAAGAAACUAGCAAGGAUUCCCCUAGUAACGGCGAGUGAAGCGGGAAGAGCUCAAAUUUGAAAUCUUAAAGGGUUUCCCUUUACGAAUUGUAGUUUAAAGAAGUGUUUUCUGUUGAGGUUUUGGUAAAAGUUCUUUGGAAUAGGACAUCAUAGAGGGUGAGAAUCCCGUAUUUGACCUUUACUUUCAACUUUGUGAUACACUUUCAAAGAGUCGGAUUGUUUGGGAAUGCAGUCCAAAAUGGGUGGUAAAUUUCAUCUAAAGCUAAAUAUUGGCGAGAGACCGAUAGCGAACAAGUACCGUGAGGGAAAGAUGAAAAGAACUUUGAAGAGAGAGUUAAACAGUACGUGAAAUUGUCAAAAGGGAAGCGUUUGACACCAGUGUUGUUUUUCUGAAAAUCAAUUAAAGAACUGUUUAUGCUAAGUUGUUUAGACUUUAUCAGCUAUCUGUUUAGUUUUGAGCUUUUCUUUAAUGCACUUUUCAGUUAACAAGUCAACAUCAAUUUCUUUUGCUGUAAAAAAGCUUGAGGAAGGUGGCUUGAGAUUCGUCUUAAGUGUUUAUAGCCUCUUGCCUAUGCAGUCGGAGAGAUUGAGGUCUGCAGCGUAGAUCCUUCGGGGCUAAAUGCAUUUGUGCUAAGUUAUAGCAUUUUAUAGACAACUUGUUGACUAUGAUUUGUCUUGUAGCUUACUCGCUUAUGUUAUUUUACCUACGCUUAGGAUGUUGACGCGCGUGUGUGCGUG
rnacentral:rRNA from 1 species